rnacentral:rRNA from 1 species
CCGUAGGUGAACCUGCGGAAGGAUCAUUAAUAGAGCAAUGAACAGACAGCGCCCCGGGAGAAAUCCUGGGGGCUACCCUACUUGGUAGGGUUUAGAGUCGUCAGGCCUCUCGGAGAAGCCUGGUUCAGACCUCCACCCUUGAAUAAAUUACCUUUGUUGCUUUGGCGGGGCGUCUCGCGCCAGCGGCUUCGGCUGUUGAGUACCUGCCAGAGGACCACAACUCUUGUUUUUAGUGAUGUCUGAGUACUAUAUAAUAGUUAAAACUUUCAACAACGGAUCUCUUGGUUCUGGCAUCGAUGAAGAACGCAGCGAAAUGCGAUAAGUAAUGUGAAUUGCAGAAUUCAGUGAAUCAUCGAAUCUUUGAACGCACAUUGCGCCCUCUGGUAUUCCGGGGGGCAUGCCUGUUCGAGCGUCAUUAUAACCACUCAAGCUCUCGCUUGGUAUUGGGGUUCGCGUCCUCGCGGCCUCUAAAAUCAGUGGCGGUGCCUGUCGGCUCUACGCGUAGUAAUACUCCUCGCGAUUGAGUCCGGCAGGUUUACUUGCCAGUAACCCCCAAUUUUUUACAGGUUGACCUCGGAUCAGGUAGGGAUACCCGCUGAACAUAAGCAUAUCAAUAAGCGGAGGA